UCCCGUUUAGCUCAGCUGGUAGAGCGCGUCACUAGUAUUUCGAGUUAUGACGAGGUCAGUCGUUCAAGUCGGCUAAUGGGAA